CGGGCUGUAGCGCAGCUUGGGAGCGCGACGGAUCACCAUCCGUAGGUCGUCGGUUCGAAUCCGGCCAGUCCGA
rnacentral:tRNA from 1 species